rnacentral:rRNA from 1 species
UGCUCCUAGUACGAGAGGACCGGAGUGGACGCAUCACUGGUGUUCGGGUUGUCAUGCCAAUGGCACUGCCCGGUAGCUAAAUGCGGAAGAGAUAAGUGCUGAAAGCAUCUAAGCACGAAACUUGCCCCGAGAUGAGUUCUCCCUGACCCUUUAAGGGUCCUGAAGGAACGUUGAAGACGACGACGUUGAUAGGCCGGGUGUGUAAGCGCAGCGAUGCGUUGAGCUAACCGGUACUAAUGAACCGUGAGGCUUAACCUUACAACGCCGAAGCUGUU